rnacentral:rRNA from 1 species
CCUACGGGAGGCAGCAGUGGGGAAUUUUGGACAAUGGGCGCAAGCCUGAUCCAGCAAUGCCGCGUGAGUGAAGAAGGCCUUCGGGUUGUAAAGCUCUUUUGUCAGGGAAGAAACGGCUGAGGUUAAUACCUUCGGCUAAUGACGGUACCUGAAGAAUAAGCACCGGCUAACUACGUGCCAGCAGCCGCGGUAAUACGUAGGGUGCAAGCGUUAAUCGGAAUUACUGGGCGUAAAGCGUGCGCAGGCGGUUUUGUAAGUCUGACGUGAAAUCCCCGGGCUCAACCUGGGAAUUGCGUUGGAGACUGCAAGGCUGGAGUCUGGCAGAGGGGGGUAGAAUUCCACGUGUAGCAGUGAAAUGCGUAGAGAUGUGGAGGAACACCGAUGGCGAAGGCAGCCCCCUGGGUCAAGACUGACGCUCAUGCACGAAAGCGUGGGGAGCAAACAGGAUUAGAUACCCUGGUAGUCCACGCCCUAAACGAUGUCUACUAGUUGUCGGGUCUUAAUUGACUUGGUAACGCAGCUAACGCGUGAAGUAGACCGCCUGGGGAGUCGGUCGCAAGAUUAAAACUCAAAGGAUUGACGGCUGAGAGNGCGAGACGACGACGAGGGAGGAGG